GGGCACUUGGUCUAGGGGUAUGAUUUUCGCUUCGCACUGUGCUACAUCACCAUGCCUACUUGUGAAAGGUCGUGGGUUCAACUCCCACAGUGUCCA
rnacentral:tRNA from 1 species